UACGUAGGGGGCUAGCGUUGUCCGGAUUUAUUGGGCGUAAAGAGCUCGUAGGCGGUUUGUCGCGUCUGCCGUGAAAGUCCGGGGCUCAACUCCGGAUCUGCGGUGGGUACGGGCAGACUAGAGUGAUGUAGGGGAGACUGGAAUUCCUGGUGUAGCGGUGGAAUGCGCAGAUAUCAGGAAGAACACCCGUGGCGAAGGCGGCUCUCUGGAACGCAACUGACGCUGAGACGCGAAAGCGUGGGGAGCAAACAGG
rnacentral:rRNA from 1 species